CACCAGUGAAGUUGUUGGUGGU
rnacentral:siRNA from 1 species